rnacentral:rRNA from 1 species
AUUGAACGCUGGCGGCAUGCCUUACACAUGCAAGUCGAACGGCAGCACGGGGCAACCUGGUGGCGAGUGGCGAACGGGUGAGUAAUGCAUCGGAACGUACCUUUCAGUGGGGGAUAACGUAGCGAAAGUUACGCUAAUACCGCAUAUUCUGUGAGCAGGAAAGCAGGGGAUCGCAGGACCUUGCGCUGAUUGAGCGGCCGAUGUCAGAUUAGCUAGUUGGUGAGGUAAAGGCUCACCAAGGCGACGAUCUGUAGCGGGUCUGAGAGGAUGAUCCGCCACACUGGAACUGAGACACGGUCCAGACUCCUACGGGAGGCAGCAGUGGGGAAUUUUGGACAAUGGGGGCAACCCUGAUCCAGCCAUGCCGCGUGAGUGAAGAAGGCCUUCGGGUUGUAAAGCUCUUUCGGCCGGGAAGAAAUCGCACGGGUUAAUACCCUGUGUGGAUGACGGUACCGGAAUAAGAAGCACCGGCUAACUACGUGCCAGCCGCCGCAGUAACAC